rnacentral:rRNA from 1 species
CUCUUAUUUUAAGUAUUUAUAAUAAGUAAAACCUGCCCGGUGAAUUUUAUUUAAACGGCUAUAUAAUAAUAUUAAGGUAGCGUAAUAAGUUGUCUCUUAAUUAGUGAAUAUAAUGAAGGUAAUAUGAAUUGAACUCUGUCUUAAAAAAUAGUAAAAAAUUAAUAAUUAAGUGAAAAAUCUUAAUUUUUCUUAAAAGACGAUAAGACCCUAUAGAACUUAUUUAUAGUUAUAAAUUUACUGGGGAAGUAAAAAUAUAAAAAAAAUUAUUUUUAAAAUUAAAAACCUUAAGUUAUUAACCAUUAAUUUUAAGAUUAAAAAGUUACCUUAGGGAUAACAGCAUUAAUAAUAUAUAAAGUCCUUAUUUUAAUAUUUUUUAAUGACCUCGAUGUUGAAUUAAGAUAAAAUUAAAAAGAAAAAAUUUUAAUUUUUUAGGUCUGUUCGACCUUUAAAAUCUU